rnacentral:rRNA from 1 species
CUUUGAUCCAGAGAUUUCCGAAUGGGGAAACCCAGCAUGAGUUAUGUCAUGUUAUCGAUAUGUGAAUACAUAGCAUAUCAGAAGGCACACCCGGAGAACUGAAACAUCUUAGUACCCGGAGGAAGAGAAAGAAAAUUCGAUUCCCUUAGUAGCGGCGAGCGAAACGGGAAGAGCCCAAACCAACAAGCUUGCUUGUUGGGGUUGUAGGACACUCUAUACGGAGUUACAAAGGACGACAUUAGACGAAUCAUCUGGAAAGAUGAAUCAAAGAAGGUAAUAAUCCUGUAGUCGAAAAUGUUGUCUCUCUUGAGUGGAUCCUGAGUACGACGGAGCACGUGAAAUUCCGUCGGAAUCUGGGAGGACCAUCUCCUAAGGCUAAAUACUCUCUAGUGACCGAUAGUGAACCAGUACCGUGAGGGAAAGGUGAAAAGCACCCCGGAAGGGGAGUGAAAUAGAACCUGAAACCGUGUGCUUACAAGUAGUCAGAGCCCGUUAAUGGGUGAUGGCGUGCCUUUUGUAGAAUGAACCGGCGAGUUACGAUUUGAUGCAAGGUUAAGCAGUAAAUGUGGAGCCGUAGCGAAAGCGAGUCUGAAUAGGGCGUUUAGUAUUUGGUCGUAGACCCGAAACCAGGUGAUCUACCCUUGGUCAGGUUGAAGUUCAGGUAACACUGAAUGGAGGACCGAACCGACUUACGUUGAAAAGUGAGCGGAUGAACUGAGGGUAGCGGAGAAAUUCCAAUCGAACCUGGAGAUAGCUGGUUCUCUCCGAAAUAGCUUUAGGGCUAGCCUCAAGUGAUGAUUAUUGGAGGUAGAGCACUGUUUGGACGAGGGGCCCCUCUCGGGUUACCGAAUUCAGACAAACUCCGAAUGCCAAUUAAUUUAACUUGGGAGUCAGAACAUGGGUGAUAAGGUCCGUGUUCGAAAGGGAAACAGCCCAGACCACCAGCUAAGGUCCCAAAAUAUAUGUUAAGUGGAAAAGGAUGUGGCGUUGCCCAGACAACUAGGAUGUUGGCUUAGAAGCAGCCAUCAUUUAAAGAGUGCGUAAUAGCUCACUAGUCGAGUGACACUGCGCCGAAAAUGUACCGGGGCUAAACAUAUUACCGAAGCUGUGGAUUGUCCUUUGGACAAUGGUAGGAGAGCGUUCUAAGGGCGUUGAAGCAUGAUCGUAAGGACAUGUGGAGCGCUUAGAAGUGAGAAUGCCGGUGUGAGUAGCGAAAGACGGGUGAGAAUCCCGUCCACCGAUUGACUAAGGUUUCCAGAGGAAGGCUCGUCCGCUCUGGGUUAGUCGGGUCCUAAGCUGAGGCCGACAGGCGUAGGCGAUGGAUAACAGGUUGAUAUUCCUGUACCACCUAUAAUCGUUUUAAUCGAUGGGGGGACGCAGUAGGAUAGGCGAAGCGUGCGAUUGGAUUGCACGUCUAAGCAGUAAGGCUGAGUAUUAGGCAAAUCCGGUACUCGUUAAGGCUGA